UGCUAUAUGUGUGAGUAAUGGAACGCUAGAAAUUUUUGCUUGGAAGGAGUCUACUUUGUCACCAACGGAGAAAAUGGAAAUGCUUCUUGGGGCACAGGCUAAUGAAACAUUUGACCAGGAAAAACUCAUGUCAGCGAAAACAAGUGUACUCGAAUAUUUCGUUCAACUUUGGGCCGUUGCUCGCAGUGGACCCAAUGACAACUUCCGGUUUCUAGCCAGCGGUUCAAUGUCGGGAUAUAGACACGGCCAUGUGACUCCUUGCACCUAUGGUGGACUUGUAUUCGCAUAUUCAAACACAACGCUAAGACCUUGGAAGCCAAACAGCAGUGCCGAUAGGGCUGCAAUAAUUUGCAUCUUAGACGUUUUUGCUGGCGGUAAAUACUCACAGAGCACGAAUGAUGCGUUUGCGGUUGCCCACGUAUGGAUUACUUUAGACCACACAUUGCACGAGGAAUGCACUACCUCUCGUGAUUGUUGGGAUGCAUUUUCCACGUGCAGAUAUUUAACAUGCCAAUGUGAGGCCGGAUUUACUGAAACACACCAAGACACAAACCAUACGGUAACAUAUUAAUAUUGAAUACCACAGGAUGUUAUGUUGACGGAAAAUGCACUCACGCAAACGAAACUGCUGGCGACUGCAAACUAUGUCAUCUGCCCUUUGACGCAUGUCACUGGCCCGAUGGCCCACCUCAUACUACGCACACUAACCCAAUACGCAGUUCAGCCUCGGUUAGACUCUAUAUUAUCAUUGGUGGCUCCACGGCGGGUUUGCUUACACUGGUGACCAUAGUAACUGUCCUGUGUCUCCGACAACGAAAGCGCAAGGCAGACCGUUUAAAUCGUUAUGAGCUGAUGCAGACGUUGUAGUGAUUGACAACCGCCAUUAUCGGACAUGCCACGUCGCUGUUGAUGACAAGCAAAUGCAAGUCGUGAUAAACGCUUGGUUUUGUAAAAUUUCAGUUGUACAUACAUGUACAAACAUUUGCGUGUAUUAACAAAGAUAAAUCAUCAGUUUUGAUUUUUAAUAAAUAUAUUUGUAAAUGAA